rnacentral:piRNA from 1 species
UUUACUUAUGCUAAUUUAACG